rnacentral:rRNA from 1 species
GGGCGUAAAGCGCAUGCAGGUGGUUUGUUAAGUCAGAUGUGAAAGACCCGGGGCGUCAACCUCGGAAUAGCAUUUGUAAACUGGCAGACUAGAGUACUGUAGAGGGGGGUAGGAAUUUCAGGUGUAGCGGUGAAAUGCGUAGAGAUCUGAAGGAAUACCGGUGGCGAAGGCGGCCCCCCUGGACAGAUACUGACACUCAGAUCGCGAAAGCGUGGGGAGCAAACCAGGAUUAGAUACCCUGGUAG